rnacentral:rRNA from 1 species
CGGAGGGUGCAAGCGUUAUCCGGAUUUACUGGGUUUAAAGGGUGCGUAGGCGGACUUUUAAGUCGGUGGUGAAAGCUCCGAGCUUAACUCGGAAACUGCCAUUGAUACUAUUAGUCUUGAAUUCGGUUGAGGUUGGCGGAAUGUGUCGUGUAGCGGUGAAAUGCUUAGAUAUGACACAGAACACCGAUUGCGAAGGCAGCUAGCUAAACCGACAUUGACGCUGAGGCACGAAAGCGUGGGGAUCAAACAGGAUUAGAAACCCUGGUAGUCCACGCCCUAAACUAUGAUUACUCGAUGUUGGCGAUACACUGCCAGCGUCUAAGCGAAAGCAUUAAGUAAUCCACCUGGGGAGUACGAUCGCAAGAUUG